rnacentral:tRNA from 1 species
GUGUUUGUGGCUCAGUGGUAGAGCACUUGCCUAGCAUGUAUGGGUCACUGGGCUCGAUCCUCAGCACCACA